AUGUCACUGGAGGGGUAUUCACAAACUGGGGUGCAUCUAAUCAGAAUUUCAAGUUUAUAUAUCACCCCUCUGUUCUGCUAUCUGGUUUCAAUCAAUAUCACUGUUGUAGCAUUGCAGAAGAUAAAAACUCAGGCUUACAAACUCCAGGAUAUUUGGGAUCUGCUCCAGCUGCUGUUAAGACAGGUCAGAAGCCAGGAGACAGCAUGGAAAAGGACAGAUCAUGGAAAACACCCAAAGACAUCUUCACAUGUGUUUGAGCUCUUGCAGGCUUGCACAGUCAACUUUUUAUUGACUUCAAAUUGUGAUAGCAUUCCAGAAGGUUAUCACUGGAUGAAAAAGCAAUCUCAGACUGUGAAGUGCUCUCAACAUGUCUGAACAAAAUGCUUCUAUCUACAAGCUUCACUUUACAAACAAUAUCAACACCUGAAGAGCAGAUAAAAGGUACUAAAACACCUAAAACCAAAGGUAUAAUGGCUAUUUUCCAAAGCCUGCCAGUAAACAAAACUUUAACAAACCAAAUUGGGAAG
rnacentral:lncRNA from 1 species